ACUCCUACGGGAGGCAGCAGUGGGGAAUAUUGCACAAUGGGCGCAAGCCUGAUGCAGCGACGCCGCGUGAGGGAUGAAGGCCUUCGGGUUGUAAACCUCUUUCGGCAGGGAAGAAGCGAGAGUGACGGUACCUGCAGAAGAAGCACCGGCUAACUACGUGCCAGCAGCCGCGGUAAU
rnacentral:rRNA from 1 species